rnacentral:rRNA from 1 species
GACGAACGCUGGCGGCGUGCCUAAUACAUGCAAGUCGAACGCACGAAGUUGAAGAGCUUGCUCUUUAACCAAGUGAGUGGCGGACGGGUGAGUAACACGUGGGUAACCUGCCCAUUAGAGGGGGAUAACAUUCGGAAACGGAUGCUAAUACCGCAUAGUUUCAGGAAUCGCAUGAUUCUUGAAGGAAAGGUGGCUUCGGCUACCACUAAUGGGUGGACCCGCGGCGUAUUAGCUAGUUGGUGAGGUAAUGGCUCACCAAGGCAAUGAUACGUAGCCGACCUGAGAGGGUGAUCGGCCACACUGGGACUGAGACACGGCCCAGACUCCUACGGGAGGCAGCAGUAGGGAAUCUUCCGCAAUGGACGAAAGUCUGACGGAGCAACGCCGCGUGAGUGAAGAAGGUUUUCGGAUCGUAAAACUCUGUUGUUAAAGAAGAACAAGGAUGAGAGUAACUGCUCAUCCCCUGACGGUAUUUAACCAGAAAGCCACGGCUAACUACGUGCCAGCAGCCGCGGUAAUACGUAGGUGGCAAGUGUUGUCCGGAUUUAUUGGGCGUAAAGCGAGCGCAGGCGGUUCUUUAAGUCUGAUGUGAAAGCCCCCGGCUCAACCGGGGAGGGUCAUUGGAAACUGGAGAACUUGAGUGCAGAAGAGGAGAGUGGAAUUCCACGUGUAGCGGUGAAAUGCGUAGAUAUGUGGAGGAACACCAGUGGCGAAGGCGACUCUCUGGUCUGUAACUGACGCUGAGGCUCGAAAGCGUGGGGAGCAAACAGG